rnacentral:rRNA from 1 species
AUGCUCGACGAGGUUGAGCUGCCGCCCACCGCCGAGGAAGACCCGAAGACGCCUGAGGGUGGCGACAACGAGGGCAUGGAGGAGCCCCCCAGCAACAAGCGCCGCAACUACGGCCACUACCAUCAGGAGGAUGGCCCGACUCACUUCUGCAAGGUCAUCCUUGCACCGAAGCUUGAGUGCAUCCCCAUGCCCCUGGACUUCACCAAGCACUUCGUCGCGGUGCCGACGGAGUUCAAGCUCAGGAACAACACUGGCUGCUCCUAG